rnacentral:lncRNA from 1 species
CUUAUCUUUAAAAGGAAAUGAUCAUAAUAGCACUUAUGCUGCUGUGAGAUUUAAAUGAGAUAAUGUGUCCACAGUACUCAGUACAGUGCCGGACACACAGUAAGCACUCAAACAAUGGUAAUGAUUAUUAUAAUGUAUUUUAAAAUAUGACACUAUAUUCAAACAUACCAUUAUAAUAUGUCAAAUGGGAAUGUGGACACAAUAUAUGAGACAACCUGUUCACAACUGUUUAAUGAGGAGGUUAUCCAACAUUAGGAAUGAUUUGAUCCUUCAAUAAAAAAUCAAUGUGUGAAGGUUCCUAGGCAUAAAAGAAAGUUCAGAAGGAUAUGUAGGAAAUACUGUUGUCUCUCUGGGGAUUGGGAUUACAGGGUUUUUUUCCUCUUUUCUUUUUGUUAAGUUUGUGUUUCCUAAAGUUUCUGCAAUAAAC